GAUGAACGCUGGCGGCGUGCCUAAUACAUGCAAGUCGAGCGAACAGACGAGGAGCUUGCUCCUCUGACGUUAUCGGCGGACGGGUGAGUACCACGUGGAUAACCUACCUAUACGACUGGGAUACCUUAGGGAAACCGGAGCUACUACCGGAUAAUAUAUUGACCCGCAUGGUUCACUCGUGAAAUACGGUUUUGCUGUCACUUAUAGAUUACUCCGCGCCGCAUUAGCUAGUUGGUAAGGUAACGGCUUACCAAGGCUACGAUGGGUAGCCGACCUGAGCGGGUGAUCGGCCACACGGGAACUGAGACACAUUCCAGACUCCUACGGUAGGCAGCAGUAGGGAAUCUUCCGCAAGGGACGAAAGCCUGACGGAGCAACGCGGCGGGAGGGAUGAAGGUCUUCGGAUCGGAAAACUCUGUUAGUAGUGAAGAACAAAUGUGUAAGUAACUAUGCACGUCUUGACGGUACCUAAUCAGAAAGCCACGGCUAACUACGUG
rnacentral:rRNA from 1 species